GUUCUCAACCUGUGGCCCACAAUCUGCUUGCGGCCCAAACAGCACAGAGCUGUGCUCCAUGUGACAUCCUCAGAGUCAAACAGGUAGUAUUGGAUCCAGCCCACAAUGGCAAAUAGGUUGAGAA